AAUCCCCACUAACAAAGAUUUAGUUGUGAAAGUUGUUUUUGUUGCAAAAACAGAAAAAAAUGCGUGAUGGAUGUGGAUUUGCAUCAAUGCUGAACAGUUAUGUUUUACCGAAUAUACAUUCAAGAAUUUAUACCAUUCAGUUUUG